CAAUAAGAAACAAAUAAUUGUAAUCAGUUUCGACCUGAUGUUUGAUAUAUAAAUAUCCUUAUUUA
rnacentral:tRNA from 1 species